UUAAGCCAUGACGAGUUCAAAUGUUCUUCGUGAACAUGGCGUUAUUGUUCAGUAACACGUGGAUAACAUGCCCUUAAGGACUGGCAUAACCCGGGAAACUGGGGAUAAUUCCGGAUAGUUCAUGGUAGCUGGAAUGCUCCAUGAUCGAAAGCUAUUGCGCCUAAGGAUGGGUCUGCGGUCUAUCAGGUAGUAGUGGGUGUAAUGUACCUACUAGCCGACGACGGAUACGGGUUGUGGGAGCAAGAGCCCGGAGAUGGAUUCUGAGACAUGAAUCCAGGCCCACGGGGCGCAGCAGGCGCGAAAACUUUACAAUGCGGGAAACCGCGAUAAGGGGACACCGAGUGCCAGCAUCUUAUGUUGGCUGUCCGCAUGUAUAAAUCACAUGUGUUAGCAAGGGCCGGGCAAGACCGGUGCCAGCCGCCGCGGUAACACCGGCGGCCCGAGUGGUGGCCAUUAUUAUUGGGUCUAAAGGGUCCGUAGCCGGUUUGAUCAGUCUUCCGGGAAAUCUGACAGCUCAACUGUUAGGCUUCUGGGGGAUACUGUCAGACUUGGAACCGGGAGAGGUAAGAGGUACUACAGGGGUAGGAGUGAAAUCUUGUAAUCCUUGUGGGACCACCAGUGGCGAAGGCGUCUUACCAGAACGGGUUCGACGGUGAGGGACGAAAGCUGGGGGCACGAACCGGAUUAGAUACCCGGGUAGUCCCAGCCGUAAACGAUGCUCGCUAGGUGUCUGGGAUGGUGCGACCGUUUCAGGUGCCGCAGGGAAGCCGUGAAGCGAGCCACCUGGGAAGUACGGCCGCAAGGCUGAAACUUAAAGGAAUUGGCGGGGGAGCACUACAACGGGUGGAGCCUGCGGUUUAAUUGGACUCAACGCCGGAAAACUCACCUGGGGCGACAGCAAUAUGUAGGUCAG
rnacentral:rRNA from 1 species